rnacentral:antisense_RNA from 1 species
AACUCGGCAUCCUAGGCACCACCACCCCACACCUUUCCACAGUGCAGCUCUACUCACGCCUGUGAAGCCUCCCACAGCCUGGGAAGGAAAACCCAGACUUGCCAGACCUUGCCUCAGCCAGGCCUUUGAAGCCCGCCAGCUUACCUAACCAGACCCUCAGCCCAUGGAGUCCUGUGUGAUGUUGUGAGCCUCAACGGCAGCUAAAGCCACUGCACACAAUGCAAGGACUGGCUCCUGUUUGGCCGUGACUGAUUGCAGCCCCUGGUGAAAUGAGAACCCUGUGGGUCGGAACAAAGUUUGGAUUAUUUAUGUUGCAAGUAACCAAAAUCUCAAGUGAAACCGGUUUAAACA